ACAGCAGUCACUGCGCUGCAGGGACAGUCCCCAAGUGCCAAGGCACAGCCUAAAGGGGCCUGUUCCCACCAUGGCAUCCGUGACAAGAACCAGGAGCCAGAAUGCAGGUUUCUGGGACUUGUCAGCUCCCUUCUGAGUGCCCUGUUGAGGAUUCCUAGAAGUCCAGACACCUCACCCCCCUAACCUGGAUGGACCACGCAGAGCCAAUAGGAAUACUUUUCUGUGGACGUGCCAUGUUGGAAUCCCAGAUCUCCCUGCCCUGCCAGCCCCUGCCAGCUUCCUGGGGACCCAACUGACCCUGAAGAAAGCCUCUGAUGGGCCUAGAACAGAGAAGGUGACCCAGGACCUUGCCCAGCCUUUCUGGACAACUGGAAGACAGUUACGCUUCGUCCUCCACCUCUCCCUCCAACAAAAGGAUCUUAGCAAGUGUUAGAGAGGUGCUGAAGUCGUAUUAGGACCAACCAGACUUUUUCUUUGAGGAUACUCAGAAGGAGUGAAGGAGAAUGGAACAGGGGGUGUGAAUAAAUGAGCUUUCUCCAUGUGUGAUUCAAAGUGGUUUAACCCAUGCCUCACCUUCUAGAACACCCGUGGCCCUCUCUAGCCAUGAGAAGUGUCACCACUAGCCAUCAAAAUGCUCCCAAAAGUCCAACCUUUGACCAAACUACAUUUCAGAUUUUCAUUUCAGAUUUUCUUAAAUUCUGGAGAAAAAAGAAAAUAAAGUAAAAGAAUAAAUA
rnacentral:misc_RNA from 1 species